GAUGAAGAACGUAGCGAAAUGCGAUAAGUAAUGUGAAUUGCAGAAUUCAGUGAAUCAUCGAAUCUUUGAACGCACAUUGCGCCCCCUGGGAUUCCGGGGGGCAUGCCUGUUCGAGCGUCAUUUCACCACUCAAGCCUCGCUUGGUAUUGGGCAACGCGGUCCGCCGCGUGCCUCAAAUCGACCGGCUGGGUCUUCUGUCCCCUAAGCGUUGUGGAAACUAUUCGCUAAAGGGUGUUCGGGAGGCUACGCCGUAAAACAACCCCAUUUCUAAGGUUGACCUCGGAUCAGGUAGGGAUACCCGCUGAACUUAAGCAUAUCAAUAAGCGGAGGA
rnacentral:misc_RNA from 1 species